rnacentral:rRNA from 1 species
UACGGGGGGGGCAAGCGUUGUUCGGAAUUACUGGGCGUAAAGGGCUCGUAGGUGGCCAACUAAGUCGGACGUGAAAUCCCUCAGCUUAACUGGGGAACUGCGUCCGAUACUGGAUGGCUCGAGUUUGGGAGAGGGAUGCGGAAUUCCAGGUGUAGCGGUGAAAUGCGUAGAUAUCUGGAGGAACACCGGUGGCGAAGGCGGCGUCCUGGCUCGCAUCUGACGCUCAGACACGACAGCAUGGGGAGCGAACGGG